GGUCGACGCAUCGCACACGCACGACGCGAAUACGCCGACCACAACACGCGAUAAACAAUAAUACCCGUACCGCGUCGUAAUAAUAACAAUAAUAAUAUAAUCCGACGGUCCCGUAUACCCGCGCGAACAGUCCGCGAGCGGCGAUGAUGAUGUUGCAGAACCCGCUGUUCCAGGAGUACAACACCGCUCUGUCGCAAUUGCUCGAACUGCACCAACAGCAGAACCGGUACCAUCAGCACCAGCAACAGCACAAUCAGCAGCAGCAGCAGCAGCAGCAGCAGCAACAGCAGCAGCAGCAGCAGCACCACCACCAUCACAAUCACCAUCACCCCGUCAGACAUCACCAC